rnacentral:rRNA from 1 species
GAUGAACGCUGGCGGCGUGCCUAAUACAUGCCAGUCGAACGGGGAGUCGCAAUACUCUUAGUGGCGAACGGGUGAGUAACGCGUUGGUACCUGCCCCGAAGCGGGGGAUAACGGACCGAAAGGUCCGCUAAUACCCCAUGUGCUCGGUAACGAGUAAAGGUGAAAACCACUUUGGGAGGGGCAUGCGUCCCAUCAGCUAGUUGGUAAGGUAACGGCUUACCAAGGCGAUGACGGGUAGGGGACCUGAGAGGGUGGCCCCCCACAAUGGAACUGAAACACGGUCCAUACACCUACGGGUGGCAGCAGUAGGGAAUAUUGGUAAUGGGCGCAAGCCUGAACCAGCAACGCCGCGUGUGCGAUGACGGCCUUCGGGUUGUAAAGCACUUUUGACUGGGACGAGGAAGGACGGUACCGGUCGAAUCAGCCUCGGCUAACUACGUG